CAUCGUCUGUGCACGGAUCAGUGGCUGACUCUGGAGCCCAGGUUGUUGCUUCCCAGUCUGGUGCUGAAUUCUCCAUAGUCUGGUGAGUGCGGUGUCUGACUCUGGAGCCCAGGCUCUUGCUUCCCAGUCUGGUGGUGAAUCCUCCAUAGUCUGGUUGGGAUGGCCAAUGGUGAGCCUGACUGGUGGGAGGAUGGGCAGGCACCGUGGAGGAUCCUAGGCCCAGGUAGCCCAACAAUGGACAACAAGAGGCAUCUACUGCAAGUGCAAAAGAAUUGUGGUGAAAGCUGCCUGAUCAACAGCUAUAACCUGGCAGAAUUUCUCCUUCCAGCCUUACCUGAAAAUUGCUUAUUAUGAAAUACUAUACCACAAUGCUUCAUGCUUAUUCCAAUCUCAGAUUAAAGGCAAACUCUUUGUCCAAAACAGUACACACCCACAGGUGGGGGUGUAUAUGAGCAGUUUUGACAACGAACAACAAAAGUUGGACCUAAAUUUUUCACUUAGCACAAGCCUAGUAAUUUUAUUAUUGUUAUUAUUGGAUGUAGUUGCAUUGAGGAUUCUCUUAUUAGAGACAUAUCUUGGUUCAAGUAAUCAAUGGAAUGUGUGGGGGAAACACAUUUAAAAAUGAAUUUGGAAAUGUUUCCAGGAGUGGUGGUUUUACAAGAGGACUCAUCACAGAUUUUUUCACAGAAUCUUUCCUAAUCUUUACGAAGGUUUGAGGCUCUAACUCAGUUCUCGUAAUGGACUCUCUCUUGGUUGGAAAGAAGACAACCCAAAAUUCCAACAUUUGGUGAGUUGACAAAAGUGACAUGUGGUGUCUCUUUCAUUCUUGUAGCAGCUGUCUCACAUGAAAGGCAGUGAAUCAGAGUUCUCCGUGAGGACAGCAGGAGCUGGUCCCCCUGCCUUUAAGGUCACUCCCAGAGUCUUUCCCUACAAGUUGGCCUUGGCAUCUGCAAGAGCAGCAAAAACAGAACACACAGGGGCCCUCACACCACAAACCUAAAUAGUCUAAAAGUUAUAAGCCAAGCUAAUAAACCAUUAAAUAAAAUAGUCUACCUUCCCAUCUUGACAAAUAUACCUCUAUGACAACAAAAUUGAAAAAAGGAGUGCAGCUAUGGGAUUUUUUUUGAUUGCUAGUCAGCAAGACAUCAAAGAUGACUGAUAUUCAUUAUUACUGUGUAUGUCAGCAGUUCUUUUGACAGGCCAGUAAUGUAUAGAUGAGUCAUAAACACAUAUAUAACUCAUAAAUAUGUUUACUUCAUAAAAUACAAUAUUUCUUGUCUUCAUUUUUAUAAAAUACUUAAGUUAUUAUAGUUAAGGUUUUCCCAUAAAUUUCCUUAUAUUGACAGUAAUGCUAAAUUAGAUAAUCUUUUUUGAAUCAUCAUAGUUGUUAGAUUAUUUUCAGUAUUUUCAAUUUUGACAAACUUCUUUAUGUUGAGGCAGUAACUACUGGAACUGUCAAAAUUAUUACAGUAAAAUAAAUUCAGAGAUGGCCACUUUAUGUAUUAUUUUAUGUUCAAAUAUAACAUAAUCAUAAAUGAUAAACUAUAUUGGCUAUACAAAAUGUAACAAUAUUUUAAUUUAACCAUUCCAAUCGCCAUCUCAUUCAACUUCUGCCCUCUUUCAAAGUAAUAUGUAAAUCCAUAAAGAAUUUAGUUGUUGUUUUUUCAAUUUUUUCAAUGCUGAGUUAUAAAGAAAACCAAACACAGCAGGAUGUUGCUCAAUUUGUUAAAAUCUUCUUUCAAUAAAGACUACUGCCUGAUCUACGGUGGGCAGAAGAUAAUGUCUACAGAAAGUGUAUUCAGGGUCACAUACAUGUAAAUCUUUCCCAUUAUAGAGUGCAUGACAUUUAUUGGAAAGCUUUUGUGUGGCUUCCUAGUUUCUUUCUAGGUAGUAAAACUAUUUUCUCUAAAAUGUUUUGAAAUAUUUUUAAAUCACUUAUCAAAUGAAGUAACUCUACUUUGAUACUUCUGGGUUUUUAUGAAAUAAAACUUUUGUAAACAUUAUUAAUAGCAAACAACAGUUCACAUUAAAUGACCAUGGAUACACAAAUUCAAAGUUAGCUUCUGCAAAGACUAUUAUCAAUUCUUUCUUUGUGGAACUGUUGUUAUAUCACAUAAUUGUUGUAGUAUAUCUUUUCUAAAUUUAAUCUAAACAUUUUAGUAACAUUUAGUUGGCAUCGCCAUCAGAUGUCAAAAAGUAGCUUUAAGGUCAAUUUCAAUGUAUUUCCUUGGGAUGUUCCAUAUUUAGACAGAUUCAGAAAACAAAGUACAUCAUCUCUGAAUUGUUCCAAAGAAUAUCAUUGCUUUGGGUGAAUUGGAGGCUAUACAUCCUAAUAACAAACACACUACAUAACUUCAAAUAAGCUACUUGAAAAUAAACUGUAUUUGAAUUUCGAAGAGAUUUUAUGAUAACAUGUACUAUAACUAUGCUUAUCUAAUUUAAAAACUUUUAAAAUAUAUUUUCUAAAUGUAAUUCUGGGUUUAUUGAUGGAGAGAAAAGAGGAAUACUGCUGUUAGAAAGAGAAGAAAAUACAGGUGAUAACUUGACCAUGAAAAAUAAGCCUACAGAUCACUAAGAGUUGACUUUGUUCUUACAACAAAAAUAC
rnacentral:lncRNA from 10 species